rnacentral:rRNA from 1 species
GUAGGUGGCAAGCGUUGUUCGGAAUCACUGGGCAUAAAGCGUCCGUAGGCGGCCUGUUAAGUCUGAUGUGAAAGCCACCGGCUCAACCGGGGAACUGCGUUGGAUACUGGCGGGCUUGAGGGUUAGAGGGGAGAGUGGAAUUCCUGGUGGAGCGGUGAAAUGCGUAGAUAUCAGGAGGAACGCCUGUGGCGAAAGCGACUCUCUGGAUGACUUCCGACGCUGAGGGACGAAAGCUAGGGGAGCGAACGGGGGAUUAGAUACCCCGGUAGUCCUAGCCGUAAACGAUGGGUACUAGACGGUCGGAGACCCCGAUUCUUUGACGGUCGAAGCUAAUGUUUUAAGUACCCCGCCUGGGGAGUACGGUCGCAAGGCUA